GAUGAACGCUGGCGGCGUGCUUAACACAUGCAAGUCGAUCGGAAAGGCUCCUGCUUGCAGGGGUACUCGAGUGGCGAACGGGUGAGUAACACGUGGGUGAUCUGCCCUGCACUUCGGGAUAAGCCUGGGAAACUGGGUCUAAUACCGGAUAGGACGAUGGUUUGGAUGCCAUUGUGGAAAGUUUUUUCGGUGUGGGAUGAGCUCGCGGCCUAUCAGCUUGUUGGUGGGGUAAUGGCCUACCAAGGCGUCGACGGGUAGCCGGCCUGAGAGGGUGUACGGCCACAUUGGGACUGAGAUACGGCCCAGACUCCUACGGGAGGCAGCAGUGGGGAAUAUUGCACAAUGGGCGCAAGCCUGAUGCAGCGACGCCGCGUGGGGGAUGACGGCCUUCGGGUUGUAAACUCCUUUCGCUAGGGACGAAGCGCAAGUGACGGUACCUGGAGAAGAAGCACCGGCUAACUACGUG
rnacentral:rRNA from 1 species